UACGUAGGAUGCAAGCGUUGUCCGGAAUUAUUGGGCGUAAAGAGCGCGCAGGCGGUCUAUCAAGUCAGAUGUGAAAUAUCCCGGCUUAACCGGGAGGGGUCAUUUGAAACUGAUAGACUAGAGUACAGCAGAGGAUAGUGGAAUUCCCGGUGUAGUGGUGAAAUGCGUAGAUAUCGGGAGGAACACCAGUGGCGAAGGCGACUAUCUGGGCUGAAACUGACGCUGAGGCGCGAAGGCUAGGGGAGCAAACAGG
rnacentral:rRNA from 1 species